rnacentral:lncRNA from 9 species
UGUAACCCAAUUCUUUCAUCACAGGUGUCCAACUCCUAUUACUGGUAUCAACGUGGUCGUCAAGAAAUGCCAGGGAGGCCGCUGUAUAACAAGGCUGUGCAGCCCUGACUGGCAGACAGGGCUGCAUGAAGCAAAAGAUGCAGAACUGUACCCUUCUCACGAGUAUCACAGAAUUUCUCAGAACAGCCCUUACCUCAUCUGACCUCUGCGGACGUGCGCCGAGAAUGACCUUGCUUUUCAAUCCCUUCUUCUAAGUGUUAGUCACACUGCUUUUCCAAAGUAGCUCAUCUGUAGCUUUGGAAAGCACGGACAUUCCCUGUUUCCCACCACCUUCGUACGAAAGCGCACCAAUCGACCGCAGAGUGAGCUUGUGAAAACACUAACGGCUCCGUCUCUACUGACCAGACAAAAAAGGAACGUUCACAAUCACCAGUCUGGCCAGUUAAAAAAUAACACGUUUCACCUGAAAUACCCGGUUUAAAUGUAUGAAGUUCAGUAGAUAAGGACAGGUGCCUUAGAGUCAGACAGGCCUGACAACAAAACCCAGUCUGUCUCUCUCUCUCUUUUUUUUUUUUUUUUUUUGUCUUUUUGCCAUGUCUAGGGCUGCUCCCGUGGCAUGUGGAGGUUCCCAGGCUAGGGAUUGAAUCGGAGCUGUAGCCACCGGCCUACACCAGAGCCACAGCAACUUGGGAUCCGAGCCGCAUCUGCAACCUACACCACAGCUCACGGCCAUGCCAGAUCGUUAACCCACUGAGCAAGGCCAGGGAUCGAACCCAUGAUUCAUGGUUCUUAGUCGGAUUCGUUAACCACUGCGCCAUGUCGGGAACUCCCCAGUCUGUCAUUUUUGAGCUACGUCACUAUGAGAAAAUUGCUAAAUCUGAAACUUAGUUCCCUCUCAUCUUUGAAAUGGGAAUUAUAAUGCUUUCUUUGCAGUCUCAUUGUUAAUUUUAUAAGAGCUAAUACACGUGAAGUAUGAUCACAGUGCUCAGCAGAAGAUGAGAACAAAAUAAACUUAAAAUUUUUAAUUUUCUAUGUUUAUAAAAUAUUUGGAUAAUAGGGAAUUGUCUCUCUUCCAGGAUACGUCCAGUCUUAAUUAAUGCAAACAUAGUUAUCUAAUGAAAUUUCUAAACAUGUAAAAAAAGACUUUUAAAUGUGAAAUGUAUGGAAGUUAUCAAAAACGAAUCAAAAUAAAGUGUGCUAUCUCUAGAUAGCAAGACUAAUAUUUAAGAGAAGCAAAUUACAUACACACCAAACGACCAGCAAUACAGAC